rnacentral:sRNA from 2 species
UCCGGGGGCAAGAGGUUCGACUCGAGCGCAGCGAGAGAACGUUGCGUCAGCAACGGCCCGCAGGGCGAGCCACGCAGUGGCGAGUCAUCCUCUAUCACCGACCA